rnacentral:rRNA from 1 species
UACGUAGGGUGCGAGCGUUUGUCCGGAAUUACUGGGCGUAAAGGGUGCGUAGGUGGUGAGGUAAGUCGGAUGUGAAAUCUCCGAGCUCAACUCGGAAAUGGCAUUGGAAACUACCUUGCUUGAGGGUUGGAGGGGGGACUGGAAUACUUGGUGUAGCAGUGAAAUGCGUAGAUAUCAAGUGGAACACCAGUGGCGAAGGCGAGUCCCUGGACAACUCCUGACACUGAGGCACGAAAGCUAGGGGAGCAAACAGG